GAUGAAGAACGUAGCGAAAUGCGAUACGUAAUGUGAAUUGCAGAAUUCAGUGAAUCAUCGAAUCUUUGAACGCACAUUGCGCCUGCCAGCACUCUGGCAGGCAUGCCUGUUCGAGCGUCAUUUCAACCAUCAAGCCCUAGGCUUGCGUUGGAGCCCUGCGGCUGCCGCAGGCCCCUAAAAGCAGUGGCGGGCUCGCUAUCACACCGAGUGCAGUAGAUUACUCUUCGCUCAGGGCGUGUGGCGGGUUCCAGCCGUGAAACCCCCUACUUCUCAAGGUUGACCUCGGAUCAGGUAGGACUACCCGCUGAACUUAAGCAUAUCAAUAAGCGGAGGA
rnacentral:misc_RNA from 1 species